rnacentral:rRNA from 1 species
AUUGAACGCUGGCGGCAGGCCUAACACAUGCAAGUCGAGCGGAUGAAGGGAGCUUGCUCCUGGAUUCAGCUGCGGACGGGUGAGUAAUGCCUAGGAAUCUGCCUGGUAGUUGGGGAUAACGUCCGGAAACGGGCGCUAAUACCGCAUACGUCCUGAGGUAGAAAGUGGGGGAUCUUCGGACCUCACGCUAUCAGAUGAGCCUAGGUCGGAUUAGCUAGUUGGUGGGGUAAAGGCCUACCAAGGCGACGAUCCGUAACUGGUCUGAGAGGAUGAUCAGUCACACUGGAACUGAGACACGGUCCAGACUCCUACGGGAGGCAGCAGUGGGGAAUAUUGGACAAUGGGCGAAAGCCUGAUCCAGCCAUGCCGCGUGUGUGAAGAAGGUCUUCGGAUUGUAAAGCACUUUAAGUUGGGAGGAAGGGCAGUAAGUUAAUCCCUUGCUGUUUUGACGUUACCAACAGAAUAAGCACCGGCUAACUUCGUG